CACCAGGCGCGAAAACUUUACAAUGCGGGCAACCGUGAUAAGGGGACAUCGAGUGCCAGCAUACAAUGUUGGCUGUCCAGAUGCGUAAAAUACACCGCUCAGCAAGGGCCGGGCAAGACCGGUGCCAGCCGCCGCGGUAACACCGGCGGCCCGAGUGGUAAUCGUGAUUAUUGGGUCUAAAGGGUCCGUAGCCGGCUGGGUCAGUCUUCCGGGAAAUCCGACGGCUCAACCGUUGGGCUUUCGGGGGAUACUGCCAGGCUUGGAACCGGGAGAGGUGAGAGGUACUUCAGGGGUAGGAGUGAAAUCUUGUAAUCCCUGAGAGACCACCUGUGGCGAAGGCGUCUCACCAGAACGGAUUCGACGGCGAGGGACGAAAGCUGGGGGCACGAACCGGAUUAGAUACCCGGGUAGUCCCAGCCGUAAACGAUGCUCGCUAGGUGUCAGGCACGGUGCGACCGUGUUUGGUGCCGCAGGGAAGCCGUGAAGCGAGCCACCUGGGAAGUACGGCCGCAAGGCUGAAACUUAAAGGAAUUGGCGGGGGAGCACAAGGG
rnacentral:rRNA from 1 species